rnacentral:rRNA from 1 species
GAUGAACGCUGGCGGCGUGCCUAAUACAUGCAAGUCGAACGAGAAUUAUUGUAGCAAUACGAUAAUUUUAGUGGCGAACGGGUGAGUAACGCGUUGGUGAUCUGCCCCGAAGUGGGGGAUAACAGCUCGAAAGGGCUGCUAAUACCCCAUGUGGUUGCGAGAGUUAGAGGUCUUGCAACUAAAGGAGUAAUUCGCUUCGGGAGGAGCCUGCGUCCCAUCAGCUAGUUGGUAGGGUAACGGCCUACCAAGGCAAAGACGGGUAGGGGACCUGAGAGGGUGACCCCCCACACUGGAACUGAAACACGGUCCAGACACCUACGGGUGGCAGCAGUAGGGAAUAUUGCACAAUGGACGAAAGUCUGAUGCAGCAACGCCGCGUGUGCGAUGAAGGCCUUCGGGUUGUAAAGCACUUUUAUGAGGGAAGAGCAAGGACUGUACCUCAUGAAUAAGGAUCGGCUAACUACGUGCCAGCCGCCGCAGUAAGAC